rnacentral:rRNA from 1 species
GAUCAUGGCUCAGGAUGAACGCUAGCUACAGGCUUAACACAUGCAAGUCGCGGGGUAACAUUUGACAGAGCUUGCUCAGUCAAGAUGACGACCGGCGCACGGGUGAGUAACGCGUAUCCAACCUGGCCCAUACCACGGGACAGCCCGUCGAAAGGCGGAUUAAUACCGUAUGCAGUCAUAGACAAGCAUUUGAAUAUGACGAAAGGAUUCGGCGGUAUGGGAUGGGG